rnacentral:tRNA from 1 species
GAAUAGGGUGGGCACACAAAGAACUGCUAAUUACUUUGUACCGCGGUUCAACUCUGCGGCCUCUUCG